UUGGGAGGUGGAGUACCAAAGAAUGUUCGGGCAUUGAGGACUUGUGUUGGGGGUGGAGAGAGGCUUCGGUCUCGCCGUCUGUGUUUUCUUCUUCCCUAGAGCACACCUACUCCAGUCGCCAUCUUUCAUUGCCUCCACUGGUGCAGUCCCUGCUCUACCUGCCGUGGUUUGCGACAAGCCCUUCCCGGGCCCGUCUGCUCCGCUUCAUCUGCUUCAUCUGCUCCUUCUCUCUCUCUCUCUUCCUAAGUGCCAGGGUGGCUCCCACUGCCUUUCAUCCUGUUACUGUGCAAUGGAGCCGCCUGACCCCGAGUAUCCUGUCUGUGUUGUGCAGGGGGUCCUCACAGGUGCAGCAUAGCUGCAGCCUUCCAGCCUGCAGAAGCAGCCUCGAAGGAGCAUACUCACAGACACAUCGCCGGGAGCAGCUUAGUCACAUGCUCAUUGCUGAAGCCACUGUAGCCGGAAAGUGCAGGCAUGUGAUUAGGAAGAUGUCCUUGGGCUUGAACUCACCUCUACAGAAGAGAGAAAUCUGCGCUGACUGAAAACAAGCCUGGAAGUAGGGCUCAGGGUGAAGCCGAAUGUGAAGCCCAGAAGAACAGAGGCUAGCUCUUGAGGAAGAUGAGAUCUACAAACACAGCAGAAAAAAACAGCCCAGGUUGACACAAGAUUAUAUUGGGUCUGGUAGACUCUCUCUUCAUUACGAAGCUCUGCAUCGUUAAGCAGUUAGAAUAGUAUCCUGCAGAGCGUGAUGGCCUCAUUACAUCUUCCUGAAACCCCCUCUUUGGAAGUCAUAGCUUCAAACUUUACAGAGACGUGACGCUGCCUCCUCCAGACAACAUAACAGAUGUGUAUUGGUCAGGGACGCCCUGAUUCCUCCCUGGGAUGCCUUUAGCCUUCUAUGGGAACCUGAGCUGGUGUCUUCAAGUGGGGGGUGGGGCUUUAACUUAUGUUGUGUCACAGUGGUCUCCCCAUUUAUUUAAUGGGGUUCCAGUGACCAGAACAUGUCUGGUCCUUCUUUGUAUGCCAUAGUUCUCAGACCAGAGGUUUUCAGUGAACUUAGAACCAAUCCUGAGUUGAGCCUUGAGGGAGAAACAGAAGGUCAGGCAGCAUCCUGUGGCCUUCUGGCCUUCCUGCCUGGCCUUCUGCAGUUGCUAAUCUGUUUAGGGAUAAACACCAUUAAGAACGAGUUGAUUGGCGGUUGUCGACAGACCCACCAAUGCCAGAGCGAAUGAAUGCGGUGCACCCAAGGUUGAAAUUAGGGGGAAAAGCAUUAAUCUGGAGGUUGAAAUUAAAUCACAGACACAUCACUGUUUAAAUUAAGUCUUUCAUUCACACUGCUUCUGGUCACGAGGCAAGAACCUUGGCCACUGAUGUUUCUUUAUGUCCCCUCUGUGUGACUCCGGAUGUGACCCAAACCCACAAAUGACCCCACCGUGUCGCCAAGAGACACACUAGUGCAGAGGGAGCAUGUUCAGAUGCGAAAAUGUCUGUGUGGGUUGUAAAGGACCCUUCCGAGCCUGAAAUCUUCAUCUGUGGAUUUUCGGUGAUCCUGACAUCCUCAGUGCCUCCCCGGUCACUAGCUAACAUGAAGGUCUCACGUAGCUGAAAGCUUCCUGCCUGAGGCCAGAGGACUGGCCCAUUGUGGCAGCUUCCUUGAGUCUCUGGAAUCUUUCCUCCUCUGUCUUCCCGGUUCUUGGCCACAGAUCUCACUCUGUGCCCUCCAGCUGUAGACCAGCUGGUGAUAGUUCACCUGACUUGCCAUCUCCCGCUUCCUGCAAUGGAUCUGAGUCCUGCUGGGCACCUAGACUUAGCUCUCUUUAGGCGGGUGGUUCAUGUCUAGGACUCACUGCUGACUCCCUUGUGAGCUCUCAAGGCUCUACACCAAAUGCUGCUCAGCUUACGUGCGAGUCCAGGCCACCCUCAUUGGGGUCAGCACAGGAUGCCAGCCGCACCUCUCUGCUUCUCCAGGGAUGUUCCCCUGGCCCUUUAGCCCCGGGCUGGGAGCCUGUCUCUGUGACUUUGGUCACUCAGGACACUCUCAGUUCAGACUGUCAUUGUGAGGAGGGGAAGCUUGACACUGCCACCCACUCAGGCCACUGUGAGACGUGAACAAGGCAAUGCUUUUGACAGAGGCAGACAGGGGCAGACUUAUAGAUCACGCGCUGCACUGCGGCCUUUGGAACUAGCCAUUUUAAGGGAGCUGGGGCUUCUGCCACUGUGGACACGCCGGGACCACCAUUAGUGAUAACCCUGUGACCACCACUCUCUUUACCUCUACGCUGUCACUGCCACUUUGCUUCCCCCGCCACUCUUACUACCAUGAUGGCUUCUGCUGGUUCCGAGGCGUAACCACCGCUAUUGUCUUCCCCCGUCUCUGCCACCACUACAGCUGCUAACACCCUCAUCACUGUCGCUAUCGCUGCUGCACACCGCCCUCACCGUGGCUGCCAUCAUACCCACGGUUGCUACAACCACGGCUCCUACCGCUGUGAAGACCUCCCCAGUGAAGAAAGAAUUGGAUUAAUGCUUACUAGAAUUUAGCCCCAUCAUUCACGGUGGAUGAAAUGGUGGCUGCUGCGACAGAGCAUCUGUUUGGCAGGCAAUUAAUGCACAAAGAAUGAGGGUGAAAGAGCGCAGGGCAAUGGCCUAAGCUCCGUGGGGAAACGCAUACAAUGUUGAUUAGAGCUGCAGGCUUCAAUGGUCCUACAUAAAUGGAAAAAGCUUAAAACCCACAAGCAUUUUAAAGAAAGGUCCUGAGCCAAAGAAAGAUGUAAACUCUUCAGGCAGGAGAUGUUAGUUUUGACCCCCACAGGGAUGCUAGAGAUAAGAAAGCAAGGUGAUAAAAUCAAAUCAGCAAGAAAAGUGGUGUCUAGCCUGGGAUUCUAUGCCCAGCCAGGCUGCCUCUGAUGGCAUCGUUGCAGAAUAAUCUGAUGUGCCACUAAUGCCACAGAUGGCAGAAUGAUCUAGGGUUACAGCUGAGUUGGGAUGGUGCUCGAACCCCUGGGUUCCUUCCCCACCACUGUAUGGUGGUGUAUGCCUGUCAUUUCAGCACUCAAGUGGGACACGUGAGAAGCAGAAAUUCAAGGUCAUUCUUGACUAUAUAGCAAGUUCAAGGCUGAUCUGGGGCUACAUGAAACUUUGUGUAAAAUAACAUCAGAACAGAAUAAAAUAACAAAAGAACAGUAA